rnacentral:sRNA from 1 species
AACGGCGAGUGAAGCGGCAACAGCUCAAAUUUGAAAUCUGGCCGCAAGGUCCGAGUUGUAAUUUGUAGAGGAUGCUUUUGGCGAGGUGACUUCCGAGUUCCCUGGAACGGGACGCCAUAGAGGGUGAGAGCCCCGUACGGUCGUGCCACCGAGCCUCUGUAAAGCUCCUUCGACGAGUCGAGUAGUUUGGGAAUGCUGCUCUAAAUGGGAGGUGUACGUCUUCUAAAGCUAAAUACCGGCCAGAGACCGAUAGCGCACAAGUAGAGUGAUCGAAAGAUGAAAAGCACUUUGAAAAGAGGGUUAAAAAGUACGUGAAAUUGUUGAAAGGGAAGCAUUCAUGACCAGACUUGGGCUUGGUUGAACAUCCGGCGUUCUCGCCGGUGCACUCUGCCAGCUCAGGCCAGCAUCAGUUUGCCCCGGGGGACAAAGGCGGCGGGAAUGUGGCUCCCUACGGGGAGUGUUAUAGCCCGUCGUGUAAUGCCCUGGGGUGGACUGAGGUUCGCGCUUCGGCACGGAU